rnacentral:rRNA from 1 species
GUUGGCUUGGAAGCAGCCAUUCAUUUAAAGAGUGCGUAACAGCUCACUAGUCGAGUGAUCCCGCGUGGAUAAUAAUCGGGCAUAAGUCCGGUACCGAAGCCAUGGAAUCACGCUUAUGGCGUGAUUGGUAGGGGAGCAUUCCGUACAGCGGCGAAGGUCGGUGGCGAUGCCGGCUGGAGCGUACGGAAAAGCAAAUGUAGGUAUAAGUAACGAUAAUGGAGGCGAGAAACCUCCACGCCGAAAGACCAAGGUUUCCUGAUCAACGCUAAUCGGAUCAGGGUAAGUCGGGACCUAAGGGGCAGCCGCGAGGCGGACCCGAUGGAAGAAACGGUAAAGAUUCCGUUACUGUCGCCGGGAGUGAAGCGGGGACGGAGGAGUGACACCGCCGCGGACUGACGGAAUAGUCCGUUGAAGAGUGUAGGUAUUCGGAGGCCAGGCAAAUCCGGUCUCCGAGCUGAACUUGACAGUACUGCGAGCCUUCGGGCAAGCAGACAGCGUGGGUAAUCAGACUCCCAAGAAAAUCCGCUAAACAUAUGUCGGCGACACCCGUACCGAAACGGACACACGUGGUCGGGUAGAACAUACUAAGGCGCUCGAGAGAUUCACCGUUAAGGAACUAGGCAAAUUGACCUCGUAACUUCGGGAUAAGGGGUCCCACAGCGAUGUGGGCGCAGAGAAUAGGUCCAGGCAACUGUUUAACAAAAACACAGGGCUGUGCGAAAUUUAAAGAUGAAGUAUACAGCCUGACACCUGCCCGGUGCCGGAAGGUUAAGAGGAGAAGUCAUCGCAAGAGAAGCUUUGAAUUGAAGCCCCGGUAAACGGCGGCCGUAACUAUAACGGUCCUAAGGUAGCGAAAUUCCUUGUCGGGUAAGUUCCGACCUGCACGAAUGGUGUAAUGAUCUGGACACUGUCUCAACCGUGAGCUCAGUGAAAUUGUAGUAUCGGUGAAGAUGCCGAUUACCCGCGAUGGGACGAAAAGACCCCGUGAACCUUUACUAUAGCUUUACAUUGAAUUUGGGCAGACGAUGUGUAGGAUAGGCCGGAGGCUUUGAAGGGGGUACGCCAGUAUCCUUGGAGCCGCCGUUGAAAUACGGCCCUUCGGUUGUUUGAGUUCUAACUCCUAGGCAGGAGGACACUGUAUGGUGGGUAGUUUGACUGGGGUGGUCGCCUCCAAAAGCGUAACGGAGGCUUCUAAAGGUGCCCUCAGACCGAUUGGUAACCGGUCGCAGAGUGUAAUGGCAUAAGGGCGCUUGACUGGGAGACAUACAAGUCGAUCAGG